AGAGUUUGAUCCUGGCUCAGAACGAACGCUGGCGGCACGUUUUAAGCAUGCAAGUCGGACGGCAGUGGGGGCUUGCCCCCAUGAGAGUGGCGAACGGGUGAGUAACACGUAGGUGAUCUGCCUUGAGGCUGGGGAUAGCCUGUGGAAACACAGGGUAAUACCGAAUGAGCUGGUCUGGUUUUGACUGGACUAGGAAAGGU
rnacentral:rRNA from 1 species